UAGCAAGCUGUUCAUCGCCGAGUCUCCGAGAUGCAAUUUACUCUUGGAUGGGUACAGUCCCUCCGAUCCAACGUAGACGUUAGAGCUGCUGCGGCCCUUCUGAAUUCUGACCGUCCAUUUCUACAGGUGAUAGAGAUUAUCAUCGUUGAUCUCACCUACCAUAAUACAUGGGACCACCCUCAAUUUCUUUAUUUGGCUCUCUGUUUUUCAUUCUUUUUCCACUGAUGAAUUCGCUCGUAUUAUUAGCCACUCCCGCCACCCACCUUUUUUCCUUGUCCCAUUACAAACGUCGAUCCAGCAAUGGCUACUCCGACCGUCGUCCUGGUGCCCGUCUGGGGCAUUGGCCACUUCGUGCCAAUGCUCGAGGUCGGCAAGCGGCUGCUCGCACGCAGCGCACGGGCCCUCACGAUCACCGUGCUCGUUAUGCCGGAGCCCGAUGCGACGCGGGCGUCCGAGAUCACCGAGCACAUACGCCAGGAGCAAGCCACUGGCCUCGCCAUCCGCUUCCACCAUCUGCCAUUAGUGGCACCCCCAACCGACACCUCGGGCAUCGAGGAGUACGUCUCCCGCUACGUGCAGCUGUACUCGCCCCACGUCAAGGCGGCCGUCGCCGGCCUGACGUGCCCGGUGGCCGGCGUCGUCGUCGACAUCUUCUGCACGACGCUGUUCGACGCGGCGCACGAGCUGGGCGUGCCGGCCUACGUGUACCUCAUCGCCAGCGCCGCGAUGUGCGCGCUCCUGCUGCGCUCCCCGGCGCUCCACGAGGAGGUCGCCGGCGACGUCGAGUUCGAAGACGUGGAAGGCGGCGGCGUCGACGUGCCCGGGCUGCCGCCGGUGCCGGCGUCCUGCCUGCCGACGGGGCUGGAGAACAGGAAGAUCACGACCUACAGAUGGUUCCUGUACAACGGCAGGCGCUACAUGGAAGCCGGAGGUAUCGUCCUCAACACCGUUGCCGAGGCGGAGCCGCGCGUCCUCGCGGCCAUCGCCGACGGGCGGUGCACGCGCGGUGUCCCGGCACCUCCGGUGUACUCCAUCGGGCCGGUGAUCCCCUUCACCCCGCCCGCCGCCGCCGGCGAGCAGGCGCGCCACGAGUGCGUGCGUUGGCUCGACUCGCAGCCGCCGGGCAGUGUGGUGUUCCUCUGCUUCGGAGGCAAAGGCUGCUUCACGGCGCCGCAAGCGCACGAGAUAGCGCACGGCCUGGACCGCAGCGGGCGUCGAUUCCUGUGGGUGCUGCGCGGGCUGCCGGAGCCCGGCACGAAGAUGCCCGCGGACGGGAACCUCGCGGAGCUGCUUCCGGCGGGGUUCUUGGAGAGGACAAAGGACAGAGGGCUCGUGUGGCCCACCAAGGCGCCGCAGAAGGAGAUACUCGCCCACGCCGCCGUGGGAGGUUUCGUCACGCACGGUGGCUGGAACUCAAUCCUCGAGAGCCUCUGGCAUGGCGUGCCGAUGGUUCCGUGGCCGCUCGGCGCCGAGCAGCACUACAACGCGUUCACGCUGGUGGCCGACAUGGGCGUCGCCGUGGCGAUGGGCGUGGAAAGGAAGAGGAGCAACUUCGUGGCGGCGGCCGAGCUGGAGCGAGCGGUCAAAGCUCUCAUGGGCGACGGCGAGACGGUGAGGAAGGUUAGGGACAAGGUCACGGAGAUGAAAGCCGCGUGCCGGAAGGCAGUGGAGGAGGGAGGAUCAUCCAACGUGUCGCUGCAGAGGCUCUGUGAUGCGCUCGUCAAGGGCGCGGUGCACCCGAGAAAGUGAUGCCGACAGAGUUCAAUGACAAGGCUCAGUGCAUUUCUUUCACGGAUUGGGGACUUCAUCUGCCAUUUCUGCAGACGUAUUGUGACGCCUACAAGGAGUUUCUGGACGUGAACCUGCACAAACAACACAGUUUCUUUUACCGUGGCUAUCCUUUCGAAAAUAUAUGCUUUAUGUUUUCGACAUGCGGGAAAAAAUGCUCAUCAUGAUUGACUCUAGACCUCAUGAAGAGUGGUGUAAAGACACACCAGCGCUUAUGUAUGCCAAAUACACUCUUGGAUUUAGCUACAACUACACGGCCGCAGUUAAUAAACAUAUUCCUGGAUGGGAUGAGGAUGUUUUCAAAUGGAAAUUUAAACGGACAGAAAACAUUGCAGAGGACAUAGAUGGGUACUUAAGUGGAUUUCUCGUCCUACAAUAUAUGUCUGCAUGGAAUAGACCACAAGCCACACACAUUUAUACCAAUGGUAUGGAGAUGCGGCGAAACUUAUUUGUGGAUUUACUAGCGCAUGAAAGAAAUGGAUAUCGAAGAUUUCUUCAUGCCGAUAUUAAACAUUAUCUUGGUCGUAUCACCGAAAGGUUUAUAAAGUAGAAUUUGUGAACUUAUAACAAAUUGCUCUCCGUGACUAUGUUUGAUUUCAGAAACUUUGCUUCUUUAAAAUAAAUAUCACUUUAUAGCUGGUAUUUAAGUUUUAUUAUAAUAUUAUUAUCUUAUUGUGCGAUACGUGUAUUUUUAAUAA